CAAGUCGAGUGCGCGGUUGUAGCAAUACAACUGGCGCACGGCGCACGGGUGCGUAACACGUGGGCAAUCUGCCCUUCGAUGGGGAAUAUCUUCGGGAAACCGAAGCGAAUUCCGCAUAACAUUCCUUGGACUUCGGUUCGAGGACUCAAAGCCGCAAGGCGUCGAAGGAGGAGCCCGCGCCCGAUUAGCUAGUUGGUAGGGUAACGGCCUACCAAGGCAAUGAUCGGUAGCUGGUCUGAGAGGAUGGCCAGCCACACUGGAACUGAGACACGGUCCAGACUCCUACGGGAGGCAGCAGUGGGGAAUCUUGCACAAUGGGCGAAAGCCUGAUGCAGCGACGCCGCGUGGGGGAUGAAGCAUCUCGGUGUGUAAACCCCUUUCGACCCGGAAGAAUGCCUCGCAAGAGGACUGACGGUACGGGUAUAAGAAGCCCCGGCUAACUACGUGCCAGCAGCCGCGGUAAGACGUAGUGGGCCAGCGUUGUUCGGAAUUACUGGGUGUAAAGGGUUCGUAGGCGGUGCGGCAAGUUGGGAGUGAAAUCUCUGGGCUCAACCCAGAGGCUGCUUCCAAAACUGCUGUGCUUGAGUGUGGGAGAGGCGCGUGGAAUUGCAGGUGUAGCGGUGAAAUGCGUAGAUAUCUGCAGGAACACCCGUGGCGAAAGCGGCGCGCUGGACCACUACUGACGCUGAGGAACGAAAGCUAGGGGAGCAAACAGGAUUAGAUACCCUGGUAGUCCUAGCCCUAAACGAUCAGGACUUGGGGUGCCACCCGUUCGGGUGUCGUCCCGGAGCUAACGCGUUAAGUCCUGCACCUGGGGAGUACGGUCGCAAGACUGAAACUCAAA
rnacentral:rRNA from 1 species